GUGGGGAAUAUUGGACAAUGGGCGAAAGCCUGAUCCAGCCAUGCCGCGUGUGUGAAGAAGGUCUUCGGAUUGUAAAGCACUUUAAGUUGGGAGGAAGGGCAGUAAGUUAAUACCUUGCUGUUUUGACGUUACCGACAGAAUAAGCACCGGCUAACUUCGUGCCAGCAGCCGCGGUAAUACGAAGGGUGCAAGCGUUAAUCGGAAUUACUGGGCGUAAAGCGCGCGUAGGUGGUUUUGAAAGUUGGAGGUGAAAUUCCCGGGCUCAACCUUGGAAAUGCCUCCAAAACUGCAUGACUAGAGUACGGUAGAGGGUAGUGGAAUUUCCUGUGUAGCGGUGAAAUGCGUAGAUAUAGGAAGGAACACCAGUGGCGAAGGCGACUACCUGGACUGAUACUGACACUGAGGUGCGAAAGCGUGGGGAGCAAACAGGAUUAGAAACCCGUGUAGUCC
rnacentral:rRNA from 1 species